GCGCCUGUAGCUCAGCUGGAUAGAGCAAUGGUUUCCGGUACCAUAGGUCGGGGGUUCGAAUCCUCUCGGGCGCACCA
rnacentral:tRNA from 2 species